GGGAGAUUUGUCCUUCAGUCGUGAUUGCAUAACUGCCAUAGAGGUAACACUGUCGGAGUGAUACCUGGUGCGGCCAGCUGGGGGUCACCCAACAAGCACAAGCAUAUCAUGCAGUAUAGGCCCUCAGUCUGAACAUAAUCUGACACUGUAGGUACAGUAGUGCCGUAGUGGUUAGCCGUAUAAUAAAGUAACCAGACAUUGCCGGUCCAGCAGUGCAGACGGCAGGAGGGGGUCACCCUCAUGUAACCAUAACCGGGCAUUGCAGAUCCAGCAGUGCUGUACGUAAGAGGGGGUCACCCUCAGUGUGGUAUAAUAGAGGUCUGUACACCCAGUAGUGUAGUCAGCGAGAGGGG